UGCAGCAACGCGAGUGGGAGCACCAGGAGCUCGGGCUCGGAGCAAAGCACUUUGGAUUGUUUUAAGAAAAUGGCAGACAAACCAGACAUGGGGGAAAUUGCCAGCUUCGAUAAGGCCAAGCUGAAGAAGAUGGAGACGCAGGAGAACACCCUGCCGACCAAAGAGACCAUUGAGCAGGGAAAGCGGAGUGAGAUUUCCUAAGAGCCCAGACAAUUCCCCGCCCCCGUCAUCUUCGAGACCCCCCAAGAGCGGAAGAG